UACCAGCACCCCGAGUGUUCGGGACGAUUAUUGGGCCUAAAGCGUCCGUAGCCGGUCCUGCAAGUCUUCCGUUAAAUCCAGCUGCUCAACAGAUGGGCUGCGGGAGAUACUACAGGGCUAGGAGGCGGGAGAGGCAAGCGGUACUUUAUGGGUAGGGGUAAAAUCCGCUGAUCCAUAGAAGACCACCAGUGGCGAAGGCGGCUUGCCAGAACGCGCUCGACGGUGAGGGAUGAAAGCUGGGGGAGCAAACCGG
rnacentral:rRNA from 1 species